ACCAAGUAAGUCUUGACUUUUUGUCUUGUAUAUGUGACAUCAAAUUUGCAAUUUUAGUCAGUCAUCUUUUAAACUUCGUCAAAUAAAUAUGAGAAAAGUUUUUUUCAUAAAAAAUUAAUUGUGUUGUGUUUUAAUUUUGGGAAUUUCUCUACUAUUCGCCACAGACCUACCACGACAAUAUGGGAUUAAAAAAUAUUUUAUGAGGUUGAGGCCUGCUUUCCAGUGCAAUAUGUGACUCAAGUAAAAGACCUUUUCAACGAUGUAUAAUUUGUAUGUAAAAUAUUUUAUACCCUGCGCCAAAAUCGCUACCUUAUGUGCACACGUCUAUGACCGUCAAACAAAUUUGUUCGUGUUGGGUCCCCCACAAUUUGUCAAUCGCUCAAAAAAAGGAUCAUGUCGAUUGUUCGAAAGAAAUGCUCCAAAAAUACGAUCGCGGUGCUUUAAAACACGACUAUGACAUCGUGACAGGUGAUGAAUCGUGGAUUUACGCGUAUGUGCCCGAAAGUUAACAGCAGUCGACUGUGUGGAUGUUUCAAGAUGAGCCAAAUCCAACAAAAGUUGCUCGCGCGCGAAGCACUUCCAGGCAAAUGAUCGCCAGUUUUUCCAAAAAUAAUACUGGACAUGUCGCAAUUGUACACUAAAACAACGCCGAACCGUCAAUUCCGAGUGGUACACAACCAUUUGUUUGCCAGUUGUCUUCCAAGAAAUCAGGAAAACCAACCGUCGAAGACGGAUCACUCUCCACCACGACAAUGCGAGCACUCAAAACAUCGAUUUGAUCAAAUGAAAAUGAGAGGUCAACGUUUUUCGACACCUGAAGGAGCGGUGGAUGCGUUGAGAAUGCAUAUUUUGCCAGAGUGCCAAAAGUGCUUCGACAGAGUGCCAAAAGAGCUUCGACAAUUGGUUCAAACACAUGCAAAAAUGUAUAGAUCUUAAUGGGGAAUAUUUUGAAAAACAAUAAAGCGAUUUUCGAUGAUUAA